GACGGCUCACUUAGGGCUCGCGAUUGUUUCCUCACUGCCCCAAAUAAUAAGUCAUUAAAUUUAAAGCUCGGAUAUUGCGCUUGUCAUCUUAAGGUCAUUUUUAUUACGAUCGUCCGAAGAAGCAAUAAAAAUACAAUAUACAUCGAGACGAUUGUCGCUUAUCGUUCGCUACGAAGCAAAGAACGGAUUCUUUUAUUUGGACUUAAGUGAUCUGUGUUAAUUUGGAUCGGUAUCGUGCCAUGAGACAUUUCGUGUGAUAAUUGAUCUGAGGACAGUAGCUCAUACAUGAAAACAGUCUGUUGGGUAAAGAUUAGAAGAUAUUAUCAAGAAACAUCGCUAUCUGCGUCAAGGAAAACUAUAGUUGCAGUGCAUUUUGGAAAUCUGGCGAAGGUGAUACAAAAGGGUGGUCACGACCCUCAGCAGUGAGGAAAACGACGCAACAGAAGGAGCCUAGAAAGGGGAAUAUUAUUUUUCCCUCUCGCCUAUGUUUCAUAUCAGUUACUGAUGAUUUUCACUGGUGGUAGGACCUCUUGUGAGUCCGGGUAGGUACCACCACCCCACCUAUUUCUGCCGUGAAGCAGUAAUGCGUUUCGGCUUGAAGGGUGGGGUAGCCGUUGUAACUAUACUGAUACCUUAGAACUUAUAUCUCAAGGUGGGUGGCGCAUUUACAUUGUAGAUGUCUAUGGGCUCCAGUAACCACUUAACACCAGGUGGGCUGUGAGCUCCUCCACCCAUCUAAGCAAUAAAAAAAAAAAGAUUAAAUCAUAUUCGAUUUUAAAUUCAAAGCAGUCUCAGUUUGAAACCACAGCAAACAAGUGACUGAACAAUAUUAUUGCGGUUAUUUCGUAUGUGAGUCUGACUAACGAAUUGCACAACGGGUUGCAAUGUUUAAUUUUAUGCAUUUCAAUCAGAUUCGCGAAGGUUGCCCGUGAGUAAUUCAUGAGAAAAUACUAAGUGACGACUCCUUGUGGUUAUCCGUGAUUUCAAUGUAAAUAUAGAACUCGGUCUCAACGCAGUAUUUCCAUUUCAUUGACGUGUUUAACAAGCUAUAAAUAUGUCAUGAGGGGAAUAUGUAACUAUGCAUGAUGUAAAAUCUCCGCCAGUAAUAUGACCUAAUCCGAGAUUGUGUUUUAAAUGAACCUAUGCAUUUUACUGUGAAACAAUGCGGUAAUGUGCUUAAGAUAUUUUUAUAGUAAUAAUUUAUUUCCUUACAAACUGACUGGUCUAGGAGGAAUGUGGAGAUGGAGACAGCGAUAAGGAAUGGUAUGUGCCGUCAUGAAUGUGAGUGGGAAUAAAAUUGACGGAAAGAUAAUGUUGUUUGAAUUAAACUUUCAUUUGCUGUUGAUAUCUAGUAAGGAUAACGACUUAACGUUAGUGGUACCUAGACUGAAAUGGUAAAAGAGUAAAGCUCAUAGACCAGAUAGUUAGAAGAACUUGAGACAUGAGGUCGAUCUUUCUUUAUUCGUUUCAUUCUCUCGGUAGGCAGCGGCUCGGCUCUGCUCCUGGCAUUGCUGAAGUCCAUGGGCGACGAUAACCACUCACCAUCAGGUGGGCCGUAUGCUCGCCUGCCUCAAAGGGUAAUAAAAAAAAUUUUUUUUUUUUAAUUCUGUACAUCCAUAUCUUUUUAUAUCCAAAACACCGUAUUACUAUCAAUAUAUUACAGCUAUACCCUACUCUGACUAAAUAGAUACUAAAUAUAACGUUAAUUAAUACACGAUUGAGCUUCAGUAUUAACGAUAUACAAAAUGUAUUUGUAAAAAUCAAUGGAGAUAAGAAUACCGUGGUGAAUAUUCGUCCCAGUUUCCAUUGACAUAAUAACUAAUGAUGCAACCGUACCUGCCCGCGUCAACGGUCCGCAGUCGACAUCACUACGCGCCGAUAAAACUUUACGAGUCUUCCUGUUGUUUCAGUAACCGGAUCACGGAUCGGUCCGGGACCGACUAAUUGGGACAUCUGGUUUAUAUUUGGCAAAUUUAUUAUGGAUGUGAAACGUUGGGACAUUCUUUGAGAGUGCGGUAGAUGGCAAACAUUCCAGAGGACGCAGCCCCACGAGAUGGUCGGACCAAAUACGAUCUUCUCUAAACAUCAACUUCAACAAUGCCCUUCAUGAAGCUAAGGAUCGCAGCAGAUGGAGGGAAAUCGUACGGGAGAAACUGAUGCAGCGGGGGAGUCACGACCCUCAGUAAUGAGGAAAACGACGCGAGGAGGAGGAUUUCUAUGAAGUUGCAAUACAAACGAGCGCUGUGUUCCGUCCAUUAUCGUGCAUUAUCUACAAAGGUAUGUAUGUACGUCUCAACAACAACCGCGGCUUCGGUGCAGUGUUCUCGAGUGGAGCUCUUGUGCGUAACCAGUAGGGUUGACACUACGAACACGAAGUUGUUUAAUGUUAUUUAACUCUCUAUAUAUUUCUGAGCGAAAUCGACUGCUCAGGAUUUGUUACGUUUCAAAUUUUUGUACUUUGGCCCGAAAUACUAACAACAAAUUUUCGAGAAUUUUUUUAUACAAUUAUAAUAAUAAUAAUAAUAGCCUUUUUAUUCCUAAACAUAGGGUUACAAGAGGUCCCUAAGUUCGGUGUGCCUUUUGGCAUAGGCCUCCUCAAAUUCCUUCCAAUGGGUCCUAUCCCUUGCUACUCUCAGCCAGAAUGGUCCCGCUGUCUGCUUCAAGUCAUCUUCCCAUCUCCUGAUUUGACGACCCCUACUUCGUUUGCCGUCUCUUGGUUGCCAGAGGGUGACUUGCUUGCUUGUUUUUAUACAAUUACUGUAUAACAAUGAUUUUUUAAAUCAUGAUGCGGUGUCUAAUUGUUACAAUAAGUUUAGAGCACUGUUACUGUAUGUCCACUCUCUCAAAAUUAA